GAUGAAGAACGUAGCGAAAUGCGAUAAGUAGUGUGAAUUGCAGAAUUCAGUGAAUCAUCGAAUCUUUGAAUGCACAUUGCGCCCUCUGGUAUUCCGGGGGGCAUGCCUGUUCGAGCGUCAUUACAACCCUCAAGCUCUGCUUGGUAUUGGGCUCUGCCGGUCCUGGCAGGCCUCAAAGUCAGUGGCGGUGCCAUCCGGCUCCAAGCGUAGUAAUUCUUCUCGCUUCGGAGGCCGCGGUGCGUGCUAGCCAGCAACCCCCAAUUUUUUUCAGGUUGACCUCGGAUCAGGUAGGGAUACCCGCUGAACUUAAGCAUAUCAAUAAGCGGAGGA
rnacentral:misc_RNA from 1 species